rnacentral:rRNA from 1 species
GAUGAACGCUGGCGGCGUGCCUAAUACAUGCAAGUCGAGCGAAUGGAUUAAGAGCUUGCUCUUAUGAAGUUAGCGGCGGACGGGUGAGUAACACGUGGGUAACCUGCCCAUAAGACUGGGAUAACUCCGGGAAACCGGGGCUAAUACCGGAUAACAUUUUGAACCGCAUGGUUCGAAAUUGAAAGGCGGCUUCGGCUGUCACUUAUGGAUGGACCCGCGUCGCAUUAGCUAGUUGGUGAGGUAACGGCUCACCAAGGCAACGAUGCGUAGCCGAACUGAGAAGUUGAGCGGGCACACUGGGACUGGAACACGGCCCAGACUCCCACGGGAGGGAGCAGUAGGGAAUCUUCCGGAAAGGACGAAAGUCUGACGGAGCAACGCCGCGUGAGUGAUGAAGGCUUGCGGGUCGUAAAACUCUGUUGUUAGGGGAGAACAAGUGCUAGUUGAAUAAGCUGGCACCUUGACGGUACCUAACCAGAAAGCCACGGCUAACUACGUGCCAGCCGCCGCAGUAA